rnacentral:rRNA from 1 species
UACGAAGGGGGCGAGCGUUGUUCGGAUUUACUGGGCGUAAAGGGCGCGCAGGCGGCUCAUUUUGUCAGGCGUGAAAGCCCCGGGCUUAACCUGGGAACUGCGCUUGAGACGGGUGGGCUAGAGUUCGGUAGGGGAGACUGGAAUUCCUGGUGUAGCGGUGAAAUGCGCAGAUAUCAGGAGGAACACCGGUGGCGAAGGCGGGUCUCUGGGCCGAUACUGACGCUGAGGAGCGAAAGCGUGGGGAGCGAACAGG